CACUAUGCUUAGCCCUAAACCUAGAUAGUUAACCCAAACAAAACUAUCCGCCAGAGAACUACUAGCAACAGCUUAAAACUCAAAGGACUUGGCGGUGCUUUAUAUCCCUCUAGAGGAGCCUGUUCCAUAAUCGAUAAACCCCGAUAAACCUCACCAUCUCUUGCUAAUUCAGCCUAUAUACCGCCAUCUUCAGCAAACCCUAAAAAGGAAGAAAAGUAAGCACAAGUAUCUUAACAUAAAAAAGUUAGGUCAAGGUGUAGCCCAUGAGAUGGGGAAGUAAUGGGCUACAUUUUCUAUAACUAGAACAUCCACGAAAAUCCUUAUGAAAUUAAGUAUUAAAGGAGGAUUUAGUAGUAAAUUCGAGAAUAGAGAGCUCGAUUGAAUCGGGCCAUGAAGCACGC
rnacentral:rRNA from 1 species